GGCCUUUAGUAUAUGAUUUAAGGUCUGACCUGCCCAAUGAUUAUUUUGAAUGGCCGCAGUAUUUUGACUGUGCAAAGGUAGCAUAAUCAUUAGUUUUUUAAUUGAAAGCUGGAAUGAAUGGUUUGAUGAAAAAAUAACUGUCUCAAUAAAAUUUAUUUAGAAUUUUAAUUUUAAGUGAGAAAGCUUAAAUGUUUUAUGAAGACGAGAAGACCCUAUAGAGUUUAAUAAUAUCAUUAUUAUUUAUUUUAGGUUUUAUUUUUAUAAUAAUAUAAAUAUUAUUUUGUUGGGGUGACAGAAAAAUUUAAGUAACUUUUUAUGUUUUAUAACAUUAAUUUAUGAGUUUUUGAUCCUGAUUUUUUGGAUUAAAAGAUUAAAUUACCUUAGGGAUAACAGCGUAAUUUCUUUGAAGAGUUCUUAUCGAUAAAGAAGUUUGCGA
rnacentral:rRNA from 1 species